rnacentral:rRNA from 1 species
GACAGAGGUGCCAAGCGUUAGGCGGAAUCACUGGGCUUAAAGCGUGUGUAGGCGGGUCGUUAAGUACCUUUGUGAAAUCCCACGGCUUAACCGUGGAACUGCUCGGUAUACUGGCGAUUCUUUGAGCCACUUAGGGGGUCAGCGGAACAAAUGGUGGAGCGGUGAAAUGCGUAGAUAUCAUUUUGGAACGCCAAUGGUGAAAACAGCUGACUGGGGAGUGUGCUGACGUGAGACGCGAAAGCCAGGG